AAGUGGCCAGCGCUCACACUACAAGCCUGAAUGGUGAGGAGGAGGAGGGAGCAAUUGGUGGGGAGGUGAUUCCCUACAAGAAGCUGGUGCAGAGUCUUGAGAAGGCCGUCAAUAGAUUCCAGGAUGGAUCAUGCAGCAACUGUGCCUCUCUCUCUUGGUGAGUGACCCCAUUGAGCCACCACCCAAGGAAGCCCCUCCAAAGGCCACAGAGGAGGAAGGCAGUGUUGUCAUUCUGGAUGCCAAGCUGUUCUACAAGCAGCAGGAGAAGGAGGUGGCAGAGAAGAUCAAGGAAAGCCUGGCAGUGACUGAGUAUGCCAAGCCAUCCAGUGCAUUGGUGCUGAGUGGUGUGUCCAGCAGUGUGGUGCAGUACACAGUGUUUGAAAUGCAGCUGUCCUUUACUGUGCUGGAUACAGAGGACUGGUGGUGUAUCCCUCACAUCUGGUCAUCAAGGAGUACCCCAUGGUCAAGUCCUUGCACACCGAUCCGUUCUGAUGGAAGCAGUUGGAGGGUGUGGAGGAUGGGGAUCUAUUUACCCAAGAACAACUUGUCAACAAUUCCUGUAGAUGUCGUCAUCAGUGAGGUCAGUGUUAGAUACCAACUUGCUGCUCAGGUGUCUGUUGUACCUGCUGGUUGGCAUCUCCACUUUGUCUCUCCUGGUGCUGACAGAUUAGCAGCAGGAGUGGGAACUGCAGUGGCUGUAACUCACAUGACUUCACUGGUACCAAUCCAGACCACCUGGCUUCCAGAGGGACAGGCUUGUGUCACCCUGACCUUACCUCUACCUAUACAUCUACCACUGCACUACAUUUGGAAUCUGGUUGAGUACAUGUACUCAGACCCAAGCCUGAUGUGCUUGGUGGUGUAUCCUGAAAAUUUGAAGAUCCAGGAGAACUCUGUCACCAAGAACCUGCAAAUGAAUGUCAUUGGGUGGCUGAUGGCAGCUCCUCAAGUGAACCCAGAGGUGAAGGAGGCUGUCACUGGAGGGAGCAGGGAAGUAGGGGUUAGAGUGAAGAUGUUUAGAAAAGAGGGAUGCAGCACUGUGGUUGUGAAGAGUAGCCAUCAUUUUUAUUUUAAGGGUGUUUUUAAGUUAUUUGGCUUGUAGUGCAGUGGUCAAUGAGACUAUCCCUUUCCAAUGGGGACCCAAAAUAAGAAUAAAGACAGACUUCAUAUUCUGAGUGUUAAUGGAAGUAAGAAUAAUAAUCAGAAAUAGCAACCAUUAUCACUAUCCUCAGUUUCUUCAUGUCAAGCUUGAUAAAGUUAGAUUUAAAAAAGAAAUAGGAAGGAACUGGUUCUCAGAUUGAGUGAUAGAUGAAUGAAAUAGACUCAGUAGUUAGGUUAGUGCUGAGUCAUUAGGGAGCUUUAAAAGAUUAGACAAAUUUAUGCAUGAGGAUGAUAGUGAAAAUAGGUAAGCACAUUUCCUGCAGGGAUUGUCAUGUGUAGACCAGACGGCUUCUUGCAGUUUCCCUUGUAUUCUUACAAUUAUUAUACCACUGAUAUGAUGCCACAACACAAUGGUAAUGGUGGUGAUGGUGUGUUCCCGAGUGAUGCAGGUGAUAAUGGGGCUUGAUAUGAGUGUCGAGGGCAUGGAGGGUCCCAUCACCUUUGCUCCUGUGACCUCUGGCUCUUCUAAAAAGGGAGUUGCAUCCUUCACGGUAUUUUUAUGUCUGCUGGUGUGUAGUGGUAAGGAUUAUCCAAGAUUGGAGAAGUGUCUUGGGACCUUCCUCAUGAAAAAAUUCGUCAUAGGGAAAAGAAAAUACAGAAGCAGGCAGGGAGUUCCAGAGUUUACUGGUGAAAAGGAUGAAAAAUUGUUAAUAAUGGUGAACUCUUGUAUUGGAGAGGUGGACCACCACCAUCACCACUACUUAUUCUCCACAGAUCACUGGGCUAAUAAAGUACAGUAUGAUGGGUGCCUUGGAGAAGCUGUGCCUUGAGUUGAAGGCUGCAGUUACCUUCAGAAAAGAGCAAAGCUGCAACAAGUCAUCCAAGUACUUUGUCAAGAAGGUUUAUGUUGAAGGCAA